GAUGAACGCUGGCGGCGUGCCUAACACAUGCAAGUCGAGCGGACAGACGCUGCUUUUGCGGGGUUCUCGAGUGGCGAGGGGGUGAGUAACACAGGAGUAUCCCGCCCCUGACUUUCUGAUAACUUCAGGAGACUGCGGAUAAUACAGGAUAGGAGAUCCUGAUGCAGGGGGGGCGUUGGAAAGCUUCGGCGGUGGUGGAUGGACUCGCGGCUUACCAGCUGGUUGGUGGGGUAGUUGCUUACCAAGGCUUUGACGGGUAGCCGGCCUGAGAGGGUGACCGGCGACAAUGGGACUGAGAGACGGCCCAGACUCCUACGGGAGGCAGAAGGGGGGAAUAUUGCACAAUGGGCGGAAGCCUGAUGCAGCAGCGCCGCGUGCGGGAAGACGGCCUUCGAGUGGUGAACCGCUUUCGCCUGUGACGAAGCGUGAGUGACGGUAAUGGGUAAAAAAGCACCGGGUAACUACGUG
rnacentral:rRNA from 1 species